rnacentral:rRNA from 1 species
GAUCAUGGCUCAGAUUGAACGCUGGCGGCAGGCUUAACACAUGCAAGUCGAACGGUAACAGGAGAAAGCUUGCUUUCUUGCUGACGAGUGGCGGACGGGUGAGUAAUGCUUGGGAAUCUGGCUUAUGGAGGGGGAUAACGACGGGAAACUGUCGCUAAUACCGCGUAGAGUCGGGAGACGAAAGUGCGGGACCGUAAGGCCGGCAUGCCAUAGGAUGAGCCCGAACGUGGGAUUAGGUAGUUGGUGGGGUAAACGGG